GCCGGGAUAGCUCAGCUGGCAGAGCAGCGCACUUGUAAUGCGCAGGUCGUGGGUUCGAAUCCCAUCCCCGGCUCCA
rnacentral:tRNA from 1 species